UACGGAGGGUGCAAGCGUUGUUCGGAAUUAUUGGGCGUAAAGGGCGUGUAGGUGGCUGUCCAAGUCUGGUGUGAAAGCCCACGGCUCAACCGUGGAACUGCAUUGGAAACUGGAUAGCUCGAGUAUUGGAGGGGGGUCGCGGAAUUCCCGGUGUAGAGGUGAAAUUCGUAGAUAUCGGGAGGAACACCAGUGGCGAAGGCGGCGACCUGGCCAUUUACUGACACUGAGACGCGAAAGCGUGGGGAGCAAACAGG
rnacentral:rRNA from 1 species